rnacentral:tRNA from 1 species
UCCUUAGUGGCUUAGACGGUAAAGAACUUGCCUGCAAUGCAAGAGACCCAGGUUCCAUUCCUGGGUCAGGAA